GCUGGGCACGGUGGUGCAUGCCUAUAAUCAUAGCAACUUGAGAGGCUGAGAUAGGAGGAUUGCAAGUUCAAGGCAGCCUCAGUAACUUAGUAAGACCCUGUCUCAA
rnacentral:sRNA from 1 species